UGUUGGUAUAUUAACAGGAACCCUUAAAUGCCUAGGAUGCCACAGUUUGGGAUCAUAGGGAGUGCUCUGAAAUGUCCACUGAAAGAAAUGUUUUGAGGUGUUGCUGAUACUGAUAUGGGCGUGCGGAAUAUAAUAUAAGGGGACAAGAAAUCUGACACGUGAGCUUGGAGGAUGCUCUGCUUUUGAGAACUUUGUCACUGCUGCCCCUGUGAUGAUUAAGCACUAACUGUGUGCAAAACUUCAUGACUUGUCAUCUCAUCUUGAUGCUGCUUAUAGCGUGAUUCAAAUAUCCUAUUUUGGAAAGAGACCAAACGAUGAAAUGAAUGGAAAGAAUCUUCUAACCUACAGGCCUGGCAUCACUGUACUACACACACAC
rnacentral:lncRNA from 1 species